rnacentral:misc_RNA from 1 species
UAGUUGCAGCUUCAAAAAGGAACUGCAGAACAAAUCAUUAGCAGGGUUUCAUCAGGUGCGACAUACUUUCUUUACUCUAUAUGCAAUAAAAUUUAUUUGUAGAAGAAAUAUCAUUGGCAAAAAUCUGCGUUGAGAAGAUCCUAGAAAUUAAUGGAGAACAACUUUUGUCAGGCAAUGUCUCAAAGAUACUAAAUCUGAAAAUAUUCCACCUCCUAUAUUGUGGCGCUUGAGGAAGAAAACAAAAUAAAAAAAUAGGAUUUCAUCAUACUACUUUAGAUUUUGCACAGUUUGACUUUUCUUUUCCCCUUUUGGAUCAAGGUAGUGCUUCAUUAUCAGGAGUGAAUCAUGACUUCUAGUAGAUAAAUGAGAGAAUUCUCAAUGUGAUAUAGACAUAUAAGAUCUCAUUAUGAUGGUAAAUCAUAAUUGGUAGACUGUAAUAUAAUUAUUUUCUGGUUUGGCGUAAUACAGGAUAUUAAAGGAACUCACUGAUCUUGACUCCUAUUUGAUCUCUUCAAAUAGAAAAGAUAAUAAAAAAAGAAAAAGUAUUAUGCAAAGUUCAAACAAAGUACUGAAAUAAUAAUCAGAUAGCCUGGGCCUAUAGUUCAGCCAUUCCUUUUGUGAAAUAAAGUGAGAAAAAAGAAAAAACAUGAACAUAAACCAAAUGCAAAAAGUUCUGUUGGGGCAUAAAAAUUAUGAGAUGAAUCUACCUGAAUGUAUUUCUUUCAAUGAAGGAGCAUGGAGCAGUGAUACUUUUACCACGCCCUAAAAACCCUACUUUCUUCCUUUUCACCCCAAUAUUUCACUAACAAGAUACAAAUGAGGACCUAAUCCAACCUUGCUCCUUUAUUUCAGUAGUAUUGAGGGUUUAAGACAAAAUGAUAGAGAAUAAAUUAUCCAGAAAAUUUUAGAAAAGGAUACAGAAGCACAAGUAAUUCAAAUGUGCAGAUAAAUAUCUCUUACCUCACUGUACUCAGGAGUUAAAUA